UGAGGGAAAGGCGAAAAGAACCCCGGCGAGGGGAGUGAAAAAGAACCUGAAACCGUGUACGUACAAGCAGUGGGAGCACAGAGCAAUCUGUGUGACUGCGUACCUUUUGUAUAAUGGGUCAGCGACUUAUAUUCUGUAGCAAGGUUAACCGAAUAGGGGAGCCGAAGGGAAACCGAGUCUUAACUGGGCGUUAAGUUGCAGGGUAUAGACCCGAAACCCGGUGAUCUAGCCAUGGGCAGGUUGAAGGUUGGGUAACACUAACUGGAGGACCGAACCGACUAAUGUUGAAAAAUUAGCGGAUGACUUGUGGCUGGGGGUGAAAGGCCAAUCAAACCGGGAGAUAGCUGGUUCUCCCCGAAAGCUAUUUAGGUAGCGCCUCGUGAAUUCAUCUCCGGGGGUAGAGCACUGUUUCGGCAAGGGGGUCAUCCCGACUUACCAACCCGAUGCAAACUGCGAAUACCGGAGAAUGUUAUCACGGGAGACACACGGCGGGUGCUAACGUCCGUCGUGAAGAGGGAAACAACCCAGACCGCCAGCUAAGGUCCCAAAGUCAUGGUUAAGUGGGAAACGAUGUGGGAAGGCCCAGACAGCCAGGAUGUUGGCUUAGAAGCAGCCAUCAUUUAAAGAAAGCGUAAUAGCUCACUGGUCGAGUCGGCCUGCGCGGAAGAUGUAACGGGGCUAAACCAUGCACCGAAGCUGCGGCAGCGACACUGUGUGUUGUUGGGUAGGGGAGCGU
rnacentral:rRNA from 1 species